GUGUUGUUUUUUAAGGGCACACGGUGGAUGCCUUGGCAUUAUGAGCCGAUGAAGGACGUGUAAGGCCGCGAUAGGCCUCGGGGAGUUGCCAAUAGAGCGUUGAUCCGAGGGUGUCCGAAUGGGGAAACCUGGCCAUAGUUAUGUGUGGUUACCCUUCAGUGAAUUCAUAGCUGUUGUGGGGGUUUACGCGGGGAAGUGAAACAUCUCAGUACCCGUAGGAGAAGAAAACAAUUGUGAUUCCGUUAGUAGUGGCGAACGAACGUGGAUGAGGCUAAACCAUGUGCGUGUGAUACCUGGCAGGGGUUGCGUGUGUGGUGUUGUGGGGUGUGUGCGUUAAAAAGGCUGCCAUCUUUUUGCUGGUUUGUGCAUGUGUUAGCGGAAGUGGUGUGGGAACGCCUGCCGUAGAAGGUGAGAGUCCUGUACGUGAAAGCAUGUGUGCGCUGGUUGUGCAUGUCCCCGAGUAGCAGCGGGCUCGUGGAAUCUGCUGUGAAUCUGCCGGGACCACCCGGUAAGCCUAAAUACUUGUAAUGACCGAUAGCGGAUUAGUACCGUGAGGGAAUGGUGAAAAGUACCCCGGGAGGGGAGUGAAAUAGUACCUGAAACCGUGUGCUUACAAUCCGUCAGAGCCUCUUUUGUGGGGUGAUGGCGUGCCUUUUGAAGAAUGAGCCUGCGAGUCAGCGGCAUGUCGCGAGGUUAACCUUUUGGUGGGUAGCCGUAGCGAAAGCGAAUCCUAACGAGGGUGUUGUUAGUGGCAUGUCCUGGACCCGAAGCGGGGUGAUCUACCCAUGGCCAGUGUGAAGCAGAGGUAAGACUUUGUGGAGGCGCGAACCCACUUAGGUUGAAAACUGAGGGGAUGAGCUGUGGGUAGGGGUGAAAGGCCAAUCAAACUCCGUGAUAGCUGGUUCUCCCCGAAAUGCAUUUAGGUGCAGCGUUGCGUGUUUCUUGCUGGAGGUAGAGCUACUGGUUGGUUGAGCGGGACUACAAUCUUAGCAAUGUCAGCCAAACUCCGAAUGCCGGUAAUGUUAUAGCGUGGCAGUGAGACUGCGGGGGAUAAGCUCCGUUGGUCGAGAGGGAAACAGCCCAGAUCGCCGGUUAAGGCCCCUAAGCGUGUACUAAGUGGAAAAGGAUGUGGGAUCGCGAAGACAGCCAGGAGGUUGGCUUAGAAGCAGCCAUCCUUGAAAGAGUGCGUAAUAGCUCACUGGUCGAGUGGUUCUGCGCCGACAAUGUAGUGGGGCUCAAGUACACCGCCGAAGCCGCGGCAGUCAACAUUUUUUGUUGGUUGGGUAGGGGAGCGUCGUGCAUGUGGUGAAGCAUUUGGGUGACCGGGUGUGGAGUGUGUGCGAGUGAGAAUGCAGGCAUGAGUAACGAAUGAAAAGUGGAAAACUUUUCCGCCGGAUGACUAAGGGUUCCUGGGUUAAGCUAAUCUUCCCAGGGUGAGUCGGGACCUAAGGCGAGGCCGACAGGCGUAGUCGAUGGAUAACCAGUUGAUAUUCUGGUACCCGUGGUGAUGCGACAAGUGGUGAAUCAGUGGUACUAACCGCCCAUUAAUUGCAUGUGUUCAUACUUUGUGUGGGUGUGUGUGGUUGUGCGUGGGACCUUCGUUGGUAGUAGCCAAGUGAUGGGGUGACGCAGUGAGGUAGCCGAGCCACUUAUUGGAUUGUGGUGUAAGCGUGUGGCCCGUGGCAUAGGUAAAUCCGUGCUGCAUAUAAGGGUGAGGCGUGAUGCGUAGACCUUUU
rnacentral:rRNA from 1 species